AUGGAGCCCGCGGCCCUCAUCGACCACUCUCGCCGGCCGCGUAACAGCCACAAGGUCAUCGCCUCCUCCCCGGCGCUGGAGCACCAGGCGUUCCUUCUCCACCAGCACGCCGUGGUGAUCACGGCGGUAGGCACUACCGCGCACGCGGCCAGCCCCCACUCCAUUGGCCGCGUGCUCGAGAAGGAGUUCAAGAUCCCGCCCCACCUGCUGCGCGUCACCAACCAUGACCCCGAGGACUUCCUCGUCUUCCUUACCAUGCCUGCCCACAAGGAUCUCGUGGUGCAGCGCGGCUCACUGUCUGUGGACGGUGUGUCGUUUCUGCUCGAGCCAUGGCGGGAGGACGCCCACGCCGUUCGCCUCAAGUGGAUGCUACACGUGCGUCUGGUCAUCGAGAAGCUGCCCAUGACCCUCUGGACGCUGGAGGGGGCGGUGGAGGCCAUCGGGGACAAGGUGAUCGUGGAUCGCCUCGACAGCCGCACGCACGAGCGCGCCGACACCAAGCUCUUCGCCUGCUGGAGCGGCAUUCCUUCCGACGACGAUGAGCCUGACGAGCGCCCGUACCCCCGUGUCGAGCCUGGCGUCUGGACGCCGCGGGUGGAGGAUGGCCGGCGCGCCCCUGAGCCUGCGCUGUCCAUGCGCUCGCAGUCCCGUGCGGCGACUGGGGGCUGCCGGGACAUGUCUUCGGGCGGUGCCAGACGCGACCACGAUGGAGAUGACUCUGGAUACCGGCGGCGAUCAUGGAAGGACACGCUCCUGGGCAUGGGGCGCGCAAGGGACCCUGCUCCAGCGGCCGCCCCGGCGCCCAGGGACCGCCAGCGCAGCCGCACCCCCAUCUCCCGCCACCGCCAGGGCGCGCCUCGUGGCAGGCACUUGUGCCAUGACAAAGAGCUGCCACACGCCCCUGCUAGGCGCAGCGAGACGGCGCAGCCCGGCGCGCCCGCCCAUCCAAGACCAGGAGCAAGGAGCCAGUCGGACACAAGCCGUCCAGAGCAGGGGAGGGGGCCUCAAAUGGCAUCUCCCUGCGCAAAGAAGACCCUGACGCCCCCGCCCCGAACCGACGACCAAGCCUCAAAGAUUGACAAGAUCAUUGCUGCCAAGCUCGACAGGCCGCUCACCUUCACCCAGGAAGACGGCGAGGGCACUGAUGAAUCCUUGGACCUGGGGCCUGCCCUCUCUCUUGCAUGCCACACCCCUCAGGUGGCAUGCACGCACGAGCUGCAGCUGGGCGAGGUCACCCAGAAGGUCACGGAGAUGCAGCUGCUCGGUGAAGAAGAAGAACCGGAGACACAACCCCUCUUCACCCCCUACCCCGCGCGGUCAUCGGCAAGCUGCCGGCCCAGGGCCACGCUACGCAUCGUGCACGGGCUGGGGAUCCUUGGCCCAAAGGAGAAGAUGACGGCUCAGGCGGCCAAAGCUCUCAUCCGCCGUUUCGACGAGCCGCUCUCGGACACCGACAUCGCUGCCAUUGCCAAACUCACCCGCCUCGACGCCCGCACUCUCAAAGUCAUUGCAGGGGUCCAAGACGGUGAGGCCCCAGGACCAUCCGCUGCACCAUGCCAGUAG
rnacentral:rRNA from 1 species